UCCAGAUUUUGACGUUGACUGCCACGUGUCACGUUCUGAUUGGACGUUAAAAAUGUAUUGUUGUUGUUAAUGUCCAAUCAGAACGUGACACAUGAAAGUCAUCGUCC
rfam:Glycine soja cultivar W05 scaffold216_7, whole genome shotgun sequence.